GUUGUAUAGUUAAGUGACUAAGCGUACACGGUGGAUGCCUUGGCAAUCAGAGGCGAAGAAGGACGUGCUAAUCUGCGAAAAGCGUGGGGGAGCUGAUAAGGAGCGUUAAUCCCACGAUGUCCGAAUGGGGAAACCCGAUAGAUGAAGAAUCUAUCAUUGUUGUCUGAAUUCAUAGGGCAACAAGGCAAACCGGGAGAACUGAAACAUCUAAGUACCCCGAGGAAAAGAAAUCAACCGAGAUUCUGCGAGUAGCGGCGAGCGAAAGCGGAGGAGCCAGCGAGUGAUAGCAUAAGUUUUAGGAGAAUUGUCUGGGAAGGCAAGCGAGAGAGGGUGACAGCCCCGUAUCCGAAAAGACGGAUGUGGUACUAAGCUAGCGAGAAGUAGGGCGGGACACGAGGAAUCCUGUUUGAAGAAGGGGGGACCAUCCUCCAAGGCUAAAUACUCCUGAUUGACCGAUAGUGGACCAGUACCGUGAGGGAAAGGCGAAAAGAACCCCGGGAGGGGAGUGAAAGAGAACCUGAAACCGUGUACGUACAAGCAGUGGGAGCCCCAUCACUCAAUCGUAUUGAUUGAAGAGAGGGAGCGGAACUCAUCUCAUAAAGGUUAACAAUUUACGAAUGAAAUGAGUAAAUUGGUCAACCGAAAAAGAAGCAGUGGGAUUGAGUGAUGGGGUGACUGCGUACCUUUUGUAUAAUGGGUCAGCGACUUAUAUUUUGUAGCGAGGUUAACCGGAUAGGGGAGCCGAAGGGAAACCGAGUCUUAACUGGGCGGUUAGUUGCAAGAUAUAGACCCGAAACCCGGUGAUCUAGCCAUGGGCAGGAAGAAGGUUGGGUAACACUAACUGGAGGGCCGAACCGACUACUGUUGAAAAAGUAGCGGAUGACCUGUGGCUGGGGGUGAAAGGCCAAUCAAACCGGGAGAUAGCUGGUUCUCCCCGAAAUCUAUUUAGGUAGAGCCUUAUAUGAAUACCUUCGGGGGUAGAGCACUGUUUCGGCUAGGGGUCCAUCCCGGAUUACCAACCCGAUGCAAACUGCGAAUACCGAAGAGUAAUGUAUAGGAGACACACGGCGGGUGCUAACGUUCGUCGUGGAGAGGGAAACAACCCAGACCGCCAGCUAAGGUCCCAAAGUCUAUAUUAAGUGGGAAACGAAGUGGAAAGGCUUAGACAGCUAGGAUGUUGGCUUAGAAGCAGCCAUCAUUUAAAGAAAGCGUAAUAGCUCACUAGUCGAGUCGGUCUGCGCGGAAGAUGUAACGGGGCUAAAAUAUAGCACCGAAGCUGCGGCAUCGGGCGUAUCACACAUACGCCUUACGAUUAACACCUUGCGAAGCGAGGUGGUCAAGCGACUUACACGUUGAGGUGUGAGCGGGAGGGAUAAUCGAAGAGAGGAAUAUGUGUGAUACGUCUGUUGGGUAGGGGAGCGUUGUGUAAGCUGAAGAAGGUGGUUCGAGAGGGCUGCUGGAGGUAUCACAAGUGCGAAUGCUGACAUAAGUAACGAUAAAGCGGGUGAAAGGCCCGCUCGCCGGAAGACCAAGGUUUCCUGUCCAACGUUAAUCGGGGCAGGGUGAGUCGGCCCCUAAGGCGAGGCUGAGAAGCGUAGUCGAUGGGAAAUGGGUUAAUAUUCCCAUACUUGGAUAAACUGCGAUGUGGGGACGGAGCAGGUUAGGUUAGCGUACGGAUGGAAGAGUACGUUUAAGUUGGUAGGUGGGUGAGUUAGGCAAAUCCGGCUCACCAUUAACACUGAGAGAUGAUGACGAGGCUCUACGGAGCUGAAGUAACUGAUACCCAACUUCCAGGAAAAGCCACUAAGCGAAAGGUUUAUCUAAACCGUACUGGAAACCGACACAGGUGGUCAGGUAGAGAAUACUAAGGCGCUUGAGAGAACUCGGGUGAAGGAACUAGGCAAAAUAGCACCGUAACUUCGGGAGAAGGUGCGCUGGCGUAGUGUGAAGUUCUUCGCGAAUGGAGCAUGAACCAGUCGAAGCGACGAGCUGGCUGCAACUGUUUAAUAAAAACACAGCACUCUGCAAACACGAAAGUGGACGUAUAGGGUGUGAUGCCUGCCCGGUGCUGGAAGGUUAAUUGAUGGUGUUAUCGAAAGAGAAGCACCUGAUCGAAGCCCCAGUAAACGGCGGCCGUAACUAUAACGGUCCUAAGGUAGCGAAAUUCCUUGUCGGGUAAGUUCCGACCUGCACGAAUGGCAUAAUGAUGGCCAGGCUGUCUCCACCCGAGACUCAGUGAAAUUGAAAUCGCCGUGAAGAUGCGGUGUACCCGCGGCUAGACGGAAAGACCCCGUGAACCUUUACUAUAGCUUGACACUGAACCUUGAAUUUUAAUGUGUAGGAUAGGUGGGAGACAUGAGAAGCGGUAACGCCAGUUAUCGUGGAGUCGAUGUUGAAAUACCA
rnacentral:rRNA from 1 species